rnacentral:tRNA from 1 species
GCGUCAGUAGCUCAACCGGGAGAGCGCCUCUCUGAAAAGGAGGAGGUCGCAGGUUCGACUCCUGCCUGACGCA